rnacentral:lncRNA from 1 species
AUGACUAUAAAUAAUUUUAAUACAAUUUUUAAUGAUCCAAAAAAUGAGUUAAAUUUUUUAGAUUUAACAUUAAUAUGUAAUACAUAUUCCAAACUGUAUAAUAUACAACAAGUGGAAAAUAUCAUAAAGUUCAAAAAUAUAUUAUACAAAUUGUUUCUUUAUUUUUUAUUUUAUAAUAAUAACAUUGAUUAUAAUCAUUUAAUUUUAUUUAUUUACAGUUAUAACAAAAUAAAAGGAAAUAUAAACAAUUAUGUAUUGUUUAAAAUAAAACAUAUUUUACUUGAAGAAAAAAUAAGUAUAUGUACACAUUUAAAUGGUACAAAUAAAAUUCCAUGUAUACUCACCUUAGAUAUAUGUUCACUUAAUAUGCUCAUGCAUGUAUUACAAUGGAACAAUUUUAAAGAUCCGAUAUUUUUUGAACAAAUCAUACUUUCUUUUGUUAUUAACUUAAAUAUAAAUAAAACUAAAAAGUAUAAAAUGAAAAACGGUAUAUUAAAUAAUAGUAAUAAUCUGACAUGUGGUUCGAUAAGUUCUCCUUACACAUACAUAAACAAUAUCAAUAAUGAUGCAAUAAAUAAAGAAAAGAGUGUAAUUGCGAAUGAAGUUAUGAAUAUGGUCAAUAAUGAAACCUCCAAUGAAAUGACUAAUACAAUUACAAACUAUGACAAUACCAAACUUAUAAACACCAAAUCCUAUAGUACACAACAUAUUUAUAAUUUGAACAUAUUAAAAAGUAAAUUAAUUCUUAUGCAAUAUUUUAAUAAGAACAAUAACACAUAUACAUACAUCAAAAAAGAAAGUUUAAUUAAAUUAAAAAAAAAGGACUUAUGUUUUUUAGCAUAUAAUAUAUAUAAAUUAAAUAUAAAAAAUUAUUAUAAUAUAUAUGGGUACAUACAAAACGAAACUAUUAAUCAGAUACAUAUUUUUAAUGUUUAUAAUUGUUGUAUAAUGUUAAAUUGUUUAGUACAUUUAAAAUUGUUAAAAAAUCAAAAUUUGUUUAACAUUAUUUUCUCUCAUUUAAAAAUUCAAUUCAAUAAAAACCAUUAUAAUGAAAAAGAUGUCACUGAUAUUUUUAUAUCUUUUUUUAAAUAUGCACAAAGUAACCCCAACAACAAUAAUAAAAUACAAUCAUUUUUAAAAAAUGUAUAUACAAAUAUUGAAUUUAAAUUAAAAAAGUAUAAUUAUAUAAAUACAAUUGAUAUAUUUUGUUCUGCUUCUUAUUUUAAUAUUUUGUUUAAUGACAAUAUAGUACAAGAUUUAUGUAUAAAUAUACUCAAUAAUUAUAAUUUUAUACAUAUAAAAAAAUUAUUACAAUUUUUAUAUUUUUUAAAAAAUAAAAAUAAUUAUAAUGUUAAUGUUUUUUUUUAUAACUCAAUUAUGGAUAAAAUAUUUGAUAAAAUAAACAAUGCACAGACAUUUUUUUUUUUUUUCAAAUACUAUCAGUUUUCUCCUUUGAAUAUUUACAAAAAAACACACAAAAUAUAA